UACGUAGGGUGCAAGCGUUAAUCGGAAUUACUGGGCGUAAAGCGUGCGCAGGCGGCUUUGCAAGACAGAUGUGAAAUCCCCCGGGCUCAACCUGGGAACUGCAUUUGUGACUGCAUGGCUAGAGUACGGUAGAGGGGGGAUGGAAUUCCGCGUGUAGCAGUGAAAUGCGUAGAUAUGCGGAGGAACACCGAUGGCGAAGGCAAUCCCCUGGACCUGUACUGACGCUCAUGCACGAAAGCGUGGGGAGCAAACAGG
rnacentral:rRNA from 1 species